rnacentral:rRNA from 1 species
GGGGAAUAUUGCACAAUGGGCGGAAGCCUGAUGCAGCGACGCCGCGUGGGGGAUGACGGUCUUCGGAUUGUAAACCCCUUUCAGUAGGGACGAAGCGCAAGUGACGGUACCUGCAGAAGAAGCACCGGCCAACUACGUGCCAGCAGCCGCGGUAAUACGUAGGGUGUGAGCGUUGUCCGGAAUUACUGGGCGUAAAGAGCUCGUAGGCGGUUUGUCGCGUCGUCUGUGAAAUCCUCCGCCUAACCGGGGGCGUGCAGGCGAUACGGGCAGACUUGAGUACUACAGGGGAGACUGGAAUUCCUGGUGUAGCGGUGAAAUGCGCAGAUAUCAGGAGGAACACCGGUGGCGAAGGCGGGUCUCUGGGUAGUAACUGACGCUGAGGAGCGAAAGCAUGGGGAGCAAAC